rnacentral:rRNA from 1 species
UACAGAGGUCCCAAGCGUUGUUCGGAUUCAUUUGGGCGUAAAGGGUGUGUAGGUGGCGCCGUAAGUCGGGUGUGAAAUCUCGGGGCUUAACUCCGAAACUGCAUUCGAUACUGCGGUGCUUGAGGACUGGAGAGGAGACUGGAAUUCAUGGUGUAGCAGUGAAAUUCGUAGAUAUCGGGAGGAACACCAGUGGCGAAGGCGGCGAUCUGGGAAGAUACUGACGCUGAGGUGACG